rnacentral:rRNA from 1 species
CCUACGUGGUGCAGCAGUGAGGAAUAUUGGUCAAUGGGCGUAAGCCUGAACCAGCCAAGUCGCGUGAGGGAUGAAGGUUCUAUGGAUCGUAAACCUCUUUUAUAAGGGAAUAAAGUGUGGGACGUGUCCUGUUUUGUAUGUACCUUAUGAAUAAGGAUCGGCUAACUCCGUGCCAGCAGCCGCGGUAAUACGGAGGAUCCGAGCGUUAUCCGGAUUUCUUGGGUUUAAAGGGUGCGUAGGCGGCCUUUUAAGUCAGCGGUGAAAGUCUGUGGCGCAACCAUAGAAUUGACGUUGAAACGGGGAGGCUUGAGUAUGUUUGAGGCAGGCGGAAUGCGUGGUGUAGCGGUGAAAUGCUUAGAUAUCACGCAGAACCCCGAUUGCGAAGGCAGCCUGCCAAGCCAUGACUGACGCUGAUGCACGAAAGCGUGGGGAUCAAACAGGAUUAGAUACCCUAGUAGUC